UGAUGUACAUGCUCGCGUGCGACGCUAU
rnacentral:sRNA from 1 species